GAUGUGUACAUAUUUUAAUUAAAAAUCAUUUUAUUAAAUUAAAUAAAAUUACAUUUAAAUCCAAUUUCAAAUAAAUAUUACAAUCUAUUAUUCAAAAAUAAUUUUAUUGUAAUCCAUUAUAUUCUUAAAUAUAAACUACAUCUUGAUCUGAUUUAAUUUUUUUUAAAAAUUUUAAAAUAUUAAAUUUCAUAAAAAAUAUUUUUUUAACAACGAUAUAUAAAUUUUUAAUUUAAGUAAAUUAAUUCGUGGAUUAUCAAUUAUUAAACAGAUUCCUCUAAAUUUACUAAAAUACCGCCAAAUAAUUUAAAUUUCAAUAAAUAAUUAUUUACUAAUUU
rnacentral:rRNA from 1 species